rnacentral:rRNA from 1 species
AGUGAACGCUGGCGGUAGGCCUAACACAUGCAAGUCGAACGGCAGCACAGUAAGAGCUUGCUCUUACGGGUGGCGAGUGGCGGACGGGUGAGGAAUACAUCGGAAUCUACUUUUUCGUGGGGGAUAACAUAGGGAAACUUACGCUAAUACCGCAUACGACCUACGGGUGAAAGCAGGGGAUCUUCGGACCUUGCGCGAUUGAAUGAGCCGAUGUCGGAUUAGCUAGUUGGCGGGGUAAAGGCCCACCAAGGCGACGAUCCGUAGCUGGUCUGAGAGGAUGAUCAGCCACACUGGAACGGAGACACGGUCCAGACUCCUACGGGAGGCAGCAGUGGGGAAUAUUGGACAAUGGGCGCAAGCCUGAUCCAGCCAUACCGCGUGGGUGAAGAAGGCCUUCGGGUUGUAAAGCCCUUUUGUUGGGAAAGAAAAGCAGCAGGUUAAUACCCCGCUGUUCUGACGGUACCCAAAGAAUAAGCACCGGCUAACUUCGUG